rnacentral:snRNA from 1 species
UGAUGUGAGGACAAUUGGCUGCGACAUCUGUCACCCCAUUGAUAGCCAGGGUUGACUCGGCUGAUCUGGCUGGCGAGGCGGGUGUCCCCUUCCUCCCUCACCGCUCCAUGUGCAUCCCUCCCGAAGCUGCGCGCUCGGUCGAAGGGGACGACCAUCCCUGAUAGAGGAGGACCGUUCUUUGGUCAAGGGUAUACAUAUGAGUAGCUGCGCUCCCCUGCUAGAACCUCCAAACAAGCUCUCAAUUAUGAAAGCCAGCUAGCUUUUGUUCACAAGAACUGUCUCAAUUUACGUGGCAUAAAUAG